UGCUGAGUCCCAGUGAGGACACACGCGCCCCUGAGCUCCGGAAGUGGUCCUCGGUCUGCACCAGAACCGGCAUAUUUUUCCCUCACAGCGUCUGCCCCUCGUUUCUCCAUCAGGAUGCUUGUCCACACGCUUCCAAUUAUUCUCAGGUUGACUAUAAAAAUCAAAUGAGAUAAGGAUCCCUGAGAUCCCAUUUCUGAAGGAGUGUUUUGUGCAGGCACCGAAGGCUGCAUCCCACUGUGUCUUGGUGAGAGGCCCGGUCAGGCUGA